rnacentral:rRNA from 1 species
GCUGGCGGCGUGCCUAACACAUGCAAGUCGAACGAGAAACUUUCCGCUUGCGGGAAGGAGUAAAGUGGCGCACGGGUGAGUAACGCGUGGGUAACCUACCCUCGAAAUCGGGAUAACUCCGCGAAAGCGGUGCUAAUACCGAAUGCCGCCCUAAAGAUGGUGAUCUUUAGGGUUAAAGGUGACCUCUUCUUGAAAGUUGCCGUUCAAGGAUGGGCCCGCGUACCAUUAGCUUGUUGGUAAGGUAAAAGCUUACCAAGGCGACGAUGGUUAGCUGGUCUGAGAGGAUGAUCAGCCACACUGGAACUGACACACGGUCCAGACUCCUACGGGAGGCAGCAGUGAGGAAUUUUGCGCAAUGGGGGAAACCCUGACGCAGCAACGCCGCGUGAGUGAUGAAGGCUUUCGGGUCGUAAAGCUCUGUCAAGUGAGAAGAAAACACGUUUUGAUAACACCAAAACGUACUGACGGUAUCACUGAAGGAAGCACCGGCUAACUCCGUGCCAGCCGCCGCGGUAAUACAAGCCGA